rnacentral:rRNA from 1 species
CCGAUGCUGACGAGUGGCGAACGGGUGAGUAAUACAUCGGAACGUGCCCGAGAGUGGGGGAUAACGAAGCGAAAGCUUUGCUAAUACCGCAUACGAUCUCAGGAUGAAAGCAGGGGACCGCAAGGCCUUGCGCUCACGGAGCGGCCGAUGGCAGAUUAGGUAGUUGGUGGGAUAAAAGCUUACCAAGCCGACGAUCUGUAGCUGGUCUGAGAGGACGACCAGCCACACUGGGACUGAGACACGGCCCAGACUCCUACGGGAGGCAGCAGUGGGGAAUUUUGGACAAUGGGCGCAAGCCUGAUCCAGCCAUGCCGCGUGCAGGAUGAAGGCCUUCGGGUUGUAAACUGCUUUUGUACGGAACGAAAAGACUCCUUCUAAUAAAGGGGGUCCAUGACGGUACCGUAAGAAUAAGCACCGGCUAACUACGUGCCAGCAGCCGCGGUAAUACGUAGGGUGCGAGCGUUAAUCGGAAUUACUGGGCGUAAAGCGUGCGCAGGCGGUGAUGUAAGACAGAUGUGAAAUCCCCGGGCUCAACCUGGGAACUGCAUUUGUGACUGCAUCGCUGGAGUGCGGCAGAGGGGGAUGGAAUUCCGCGUGUAGCAGUGAAAUGCGUAGAUAUGCGGAGGAACACCGAUGGCGAAGGCAAUCCCCUGGGCCUGCACUGACGCUCAUGCACGAAAGCGUGGGGAGCAAACAGGAUUAGAUACCCUGGUAGUCCACGCCCUAAACGAUGUCAACUGGUUGUUGGGUCUUCACUGACUCAGUAACGAAGCUAACGCGUGAAGUUGACCGCCUGGGGA